UUCGACCUGGAUCUGACGUGAUUACCCGCUGAACUUAAGCAUAUCAGUAAGCGGAGGAAAAGAAACUAACAAGGAUUC
rnacentral:rRNA from 1 species